AUCGCUUCUCGGCCUUUUGGCUAAGAUCAAGUGUAGUAUUUUCCCUUGUAUGGGUCCCAGUGGAGUGCAAAAUCUGGGGUUCUUAAAUCUCAAGAUAUGAAAAUCACUUAAGUCUUAGAGACUCAUC
rnacentral:snRNA from 1 species